AUUGAACGCUGGCGGCAGGCCUAACACAUGCAAGUCGAACGAGUGGCGGACGGGUGAGUAAUGUCUGGGAAACUGCCCGAUGGAGGGGGAUAACUACUGGAAACGGUAGCUAAUACCGCAUACCAUCGGAUGUGCCCAGAUGGGAUUAGCUUGUAGGUGAGGUAACGGCUCACCUAGGCGACGAUCCCUAGCUGGGCUGAGAGGAUGACCAGCCAGAUGGGAACUGAGACACGGGCCAGAAGCCUAUGGGAGGGAGCAGUGGGGAAUAGUGCACAAUGUGCGCAAGCCUGAUGCAGCCAGGCCGAGUGUAUGAAGAAGGCCUUCGGGUUGUAAAGUACUUUCAGCGGGGAGGCGUUACCCGCAGAAGAAGCACCGGCUAACUCCGUGCCAGCAGCCGCGGUAAUAC
rnacentral:rRNA from 1 species